rnacentral:rRNA from 1 species
GGAGGCCUAACACAUGCAAGCCGAGCGGUAGAGAUUCUUCGGAAUCUUGAGAGCGGCGUACGGGUGCGGAACACGUGUGCAACCUGCCUUUAUCAGGGGGAUAGCUUUUCGAAAGGAAGAUUAAUACCCCAUAACAUUUUGAAUGGCAUCAUUUAAAAUUGAAAACUCCGGUGGAUAGAGAUGGGCACGCGCAAGAUUAGAUAGUUGGUGAGGUAACGGCUCACCAAGUCUGCGAUCUUUAGGGGGCCUGAGAGGGUGAUCCCCCACACUGGUACUGAGACACGGACCAGACUCCUACGGGAGGCAGCAGUGAGGAAUAUUGGACAAUGGGUGCGAGCCUGAUCCAGCCAUCCCGCGUGAAGGACGACGGCCCUAUGGGUUGUAAACUUCUUUUGUAUAGGGAUAAACCUAGAUACGUGUAUCUAGCUGAAGGUACUAUACGAAUAAGCACCGGCUAACUCCGUGCCAGCAGCCGCGGUAAUACGGAGGGUGCAAGCGUUAUCCGGAUUUAUUGGGUUUAAAGGGUCCGUAGGCGGAUCUGUAAGUCAGUGGUGAAAUCUCACAGCUUAACUGUGAAACUGCCAUUGAUACUGCAGGUCUUGAGUGUUGUUGAAGUAGCUGGAAUAAGUAGUGUAGCGGUGAAAUGCAUAGAUAUUACUUAGAACACCAAUUGCGAAGGCAGGUUACUAAGCAACAACUGACGCUGAUGGACGAAAGCGUGGGGAGCGAACAGGAUUAGAUACCCUGGUAGUCCACGCCGUAAACGAUGCUAACUCGUUUUUGGAUUUUCGGAUUCAGAGACUAAGCGAAAGUGAUAAGUUAGCCACCUGGGGAGUACGUUCGCAAGAAUGAAACUCAAAGGAAUUGACGGGGGCCCGCACAAGCGGUGGAUUAUGUGGUUUAAUUCGAUGAUACGCGAGGAACCUUACCAAGGCUUAAAUGGGAAAUGACAGGUUUAGAAAUAGACUUUUCUUCGGACAUUUUUCAAGGUGCUGCAUGGUUGUCGUCAGCUCGUGCCGUGAGGUGUUAGGUUAAGUCCUGCAACGAGCGCAACCCCUGUCACUAGUUGCCAUCAUUAAGUUGGGGACUCUAGUGAGACUGCCUACGCAAGUAGAGAGGAAGGUGGGGAUGACGUCAAAUCAUCACGGCCCUUACGCCUUGGGCCACACACGUAAUACAAUGGCCAGUACAGAGGGCAGCUACACGGUGACGUGAUGCAAAUCUCGAAAGCUGGUCUCAGUUCGGAUUGGAGUCUGCAACUCGACUCUAUGAAGCUGGAAUCGCUAGUAAUCGCGCAUCAGCCAUGGCGCGGUGAAUACGUUCCCGGGCCUUGUACACACCGCCCGUCAAGCCAUGGAAGUCUGGGGUACCUGAAGUCGGUGACCGUAACAGGAGCUGCCUAGGGUAAAACAGGUAACUAGGGCUAAGUCGU